AUUGAACGAUGGCGGCAGGCUUAACACAUGCAAGUCGAGCGAGCGGCGGACGGGUGAGUAAUGUCUGGGAAACUGCCUGAUGGAUGGGGAUAACUACUUGAAACGGUAGCUAAUACCGCAUACCAUCAGCUGUGCUCAUAGGGGAUUAGCUUGUAGGUGGGGUAAUGGCUCACCUAGGCGACGCUCCCUAGCUGGUCUGAGAGGAUGACCCGCCACACUGGAACUGAUACAAGGGCCAGACUCCUACGGGAGGCAGCAGUGGGGAAUAUUGCACAAUGGGCGCAAGCCUGAUGCAGCCAUGCCGCGUGUGUGAAUAAGGCCUUCGGGUUGUAAAGCACUUUCAGCGAGGAGGCGGGACGCGCAGAAGAAGCACCGGCUAACUCCGUGCCAGCAGCCGCGGUAAUAC
rnacentral:rRNA from 1 species